AUUGAACGCUGGCGGCAGGCCUAACACAUGCAAGUCGAACGAGUGGCGGACGGGUGAGUAAUGUCUGGGAAUCUGCCUGAUGGAGGGGGAUAACUACUGGCAACGGUAGAUAAUACCGCAUACCAUCAGAUGUGCCAAGAUGGGAUUAGCUUGUUGGUGGGGUAACGGCUCACACAGGCGACGAUCCCUAGCUAGACUGAGCGGAGGACCAGCCACACUGGAACUGAGAAACGGUCCAGACUCCUACGGGAGGCAGAAGUGGGGAAUAUUGACCAAUGGGCGCAAGCCUGAUGCAGCCAUGCCGCGUGUAUGAAGAGGGCCUGAGGGUUGUAAAGGACUUUCAGCGGGGAGGCGUUACCCGCAGAAGAAGCACCGGCUAACUCCGUGCCAGCAGCCGCGGUAAUUC
rnacentral:rRNA from 1 species